AAGACAUGGACAGAACGCUGGGCUGGAUUGGGUCUACUCACAUCCCACUCUUGGUUAAGAACAGAAACUCCGGGGUUGGGGGGGAGCCAAGCUGUGUGGAGUUUGAGUUUAGCUGUGUGAGUGAGCAGUCUAAGCAUUUGGGGCCUAGUCUCUGUACUUAAGAACUGUCAAAAUAACAGCAUCCACUGUCCUGGCUUGCUGGGAGGAUAAUCAGUUCUUUGUAAACUCUUUGGAAUGCUGCCUGGUACUGCCUGAAUGGACCGUCGAGUGAAUGAGCGUGCUCACGUGCUCACUCUCUGCUGCCCAGACAGCAUCAUCGGCAGACCGGCUAGCACGACCCUGUCACCAGCUGUCUGCCAUUGCUGCGUACGCCAAGAGCCCUUCCCACACAGGACCUUGGGGGAACCUCCAUCGUUGGGACCCUCGGGUUUGAAAAUGAUAUAAUCUCAACACUAGCUGGCUUUUUGCAAGACGGUAAACUUCUUGAUGGCGUUGCCCAGGUGGGACAGAGGAGCCGGCAUCAGAGUGCUAAGAUCACCAGCCUGGGUGUUCCAGACCCGUUUUAUGCAAGGCCAGCACUCUACUGAAUGAGCUACAUCUGCAGUCUGUGAGCACCUUUAUUAGCCAGAGAUAAGAAUCCCACAGUCUCGGCUUCCCGUGAGAACAGACUGGUGUGAACGGGCAACGUGUCGGGUACUGAUGCUGUUCAUUUGAUCCCCAUACACCUCGAAAUAAGUGCUGUCAGUGACCCCCAACUUUGCCGACCUGCAAGGGUAGAGACCUGCUCUGGCUGUGCAGCGAGUGUGGCUCCAAACGCCUGUGUCUCUGAUCUGCCUCUUUGUCCCCGCCAUCCCAAGCACGAUGCAGAACUUCCCUGUCAGGAAGGUUGGUCCUCGCUUCACACACUGCCUAGGCCUCUAGGCUCCAGCCACACUGCCAGUCCCAGCCAAUCAGAGUGGAUCCUUAAUCCAAUGUGCUCCUGAGCCGCUGUUGCCUUGGUGACCAGGAAUGUCUGCCUCGGGAAGCCCACCCAGACUCCACAUCCCACCAGGUCCCCAACACUCCACCCACCACCACCAUUACACACGAUCAAGCUGGGUAGGGAAGAGUCCAGGAGAGGAUUUGGAGGGGCUGGUUCCUCCUAACUGCAGGGGAGAGGGGGCUGUCAUGGCUCAGAGUGGUCCCCAAGUACAGGAGUUUGGGGGAAGUACUAGGCUCAAAGAAAGGAGAUUGGGAGUGAGCGCCAGGCUCUCCCUUUAGUUCCUUGGGAUCUAAAUGCUUCCCCAGUCUUGGAGGAGGAAGAGCUGUAUGAACUGUGCUGUGGGUCCCUGGGAUUGACUGCUGUGUGGUUCUGGACAAGUAGGCUCACUAUUCUGAGUGCCCAGCCUGGCAGGAAUGAAUACGAAGACCCAGGAGGAGACACAUCAGAAUCAAGUGUUGCCUCCCAAGAGAGGCACUCCCAGGACACCUGCCGUGAUGCUGGCUGCUACUGUGACCACACACAGGAAUGUCCCGGCCACAGAGACACAGUGUAGGCAGCUGGAAUGUACUCCCGGGUUCAACCUGAGAACCACAGAGACUGAUGUUGUUAACCUGUAAACCGCAAUGGUGUCUGGAACAGCAACGAAAGCCACUGCCCAGGGGGGCGACUCAGUUCUGAGCCAAGCAGGUUCCAAUUCAGCCAUCCCAGCCUACAGUCACGCAGCUGAUGUGAGGAGAUCCCAGGUUUCUGAAACAGUUAGGUACUAUGGGACUCUGCCAAAUGGAGUGUUCUGGGAAGGGUGUCUCUGCCUGGGAUACUCACACAGACGACAUUCCCAAACCCCCUUCUGGGUCCCCGAAAUGCUCUGUAGCCAGCCAGCCUGGGGUUCCCCUCCCCUCUAGGGCUUGGCUCUGCUCAGCCCAGUUCCAGAGCCAAUCUGCAAUUGCAUAAUGGACAAUUAGGAAUGAGCUUUCUUCUCUUCCAAAGGAGCAAUCAGCCUGACGGCAAGGACAGAGCAGAGAGGACCCAGGAAGUUUGUCUCCUCGUCCCUGCCAAGAUGGAGAGACCCUCUCCUGACCCAGCCUAGCUGGAAAAAUCAGAGCUCGCUAGGGUGUCCCCCUACUUCUCCCCUGCCUCCUAUCUCCCUUCUAGGAAGACAUCCUGACAAGGCUGGCCCAUGACUUUCCUGGGAUGCUGUGAUUCCAAUGUCCUCAGGGCUGUCUGGUGGGUGGCACCUGGCCUGUCCCACCUGUCUCCCCUCCCCCGUAAUUACUAACCAUCUAAGGCACCA